rnacentral:rRNA from 1 species
AUUGAACGCUGGCGGCAUGCCUUACACAUGCAAGUCGAACGGUAGAGGGGGCAACCCCUUGAGAGUGGCGAACGGGUGAGUAAUGCGUCGGAACGUGCCCAGUUGUGGGGGAUAACACUUCGAAAGAAGUGCUGAUACCGCAUACGACCUGAGGGUGAAAGGGGGGGACUCGCAAGAGCCUCUCGCAAUUGGAGCGGCCGAUGUCAGAUUAGGUAGUUGGUGGGGUAAAAGCCUACCAAGCCGACGAUCUGUAGCUGGUCUGAGAGGACGACCAGCCACACUGGGACUGAGACACGGCCCAGACUCCUACGGGAGGCAGCAGUGGGGAAUUUUGGACAAUGGACGCAAGUCUGAUCCAGCCAUGCCGCGUGCAGGAAGAAGGCCUUCGGGUUGUAAACUGCUUUUGUCAGGGAAGAAAUCCUCUGGGCUAAUAUCCUGGGGGGAUGACGGUACCUGAAGAAUAAGCACCGGCUAACUACGUGCCAGCAGCCGCGGUAACAC